CGGGUGAGUAACACGUGGGUGACCUGCCCUUAGCUCUGGGGAUAAGCCUGGGAAACUGGGUCUAAUACCGGAUAUGAUUCCAUGACGCAUGUUGUGGGGUGGAAAGCCUUGUGCGGCUAGGGAUGGGCCCGCGGCCUAUCAGCUUGUUGGUGGGGUGAUGGCCUACCAAGGCGACGACGGGUAGCCGGCCUGAGAGGGCGACCGGCCACACUGGGACUGAGACACGGCCCAG
rnacentral:rRNA from 1 species